CUUAGACUUAGGAGAGGGCUGUG
rnacentral:piRNA from 1 species